AAAAAAACACAGUUGUGCCUUGCGUAGGUCUAGCUCAGGCUUUCUGCCGCGCAUCCAGGUGUCCCGUCCAUUACCAACCAUGGGUACCAGACAGAAUCCGCUCUCCUUCACAGCAGUACCCCACCCGAUGUCUCUGGGAGGGCGUGUUUGGAGCCCGGAGCACCCAGCAUUUUCCCGCAGGCUGUGGUCCCCGUUUAGCUCACCUCCAGGCCAGUGUGGGACCCUGAGGUUUCUGAUGAGCCGCACACACGUCUAGGGAGGCCCGACGUCUUCUCUCUGUGUUACAGUUGCUCACCGGCUGGUGCUCCAGACUCCUGUCUUCCUGCCUGGCUCUGCGCCCCCUUCCACGGCAGCUCCUCGCCCCCAGCACUGACGAGGGAGCCCCACCGCUACGGGAGAGGAUAUGCUCCAGGGUCAGAAGAAGAGAAAAGAGAAAAAGUGGCAUGGUGCUGACUGAAAGAUGGGAAGGAAGAGAAAAUGAGAUGUUGCCUGAAGACAAUGGCCGAGACAGCCCGUCCCACCCUGCACAGCCACCAGUGCCUCUGUCCCUAACCGUGUCUCCUCUGUGAGUCUGCGAAGGCUGAGAUAUGAUGUGAUGUACCCUGCUCUGGAGCAGGCAGCUGCUCAGAGACCCACAGGGAGCUCUGUGAUUGGCCUCAGAUGGCCUUGAGGAUAACAGGUGUCUAUUCAUCAAGCACACAAACCUCCCUCAGGGCAGUUCCUGACAAGAUGGCAGAAUCCGUGACCCCAGGGUCUCUGUUGCUCUCAGCAGACCAGGUCUGCCUCCUGUGGGGCAUACCCUAUCAGAUCCAAGCUCCAGGCACCAUGCUGGCUGAAAACCUGGCCCCGUCUUGUCUCUGUCUCUCUUGGGUGCAGAUGAGCUUCUCCUUGAUCUCUCACCUUCCCUGGGCUCCUUUUCAGAAGCACUCCGGGCCAAGGAAUAGAGGCCCCUCAUUCUGAGCCACUUCCUCAUGCCUUCACUGUUUCUCUAGGGGAGGGUCCAAGGUGGCCUAGUAAAGAAGCAAGAUCACAAGAAGACCGGCCCCACACAACCGGAAGUCAGAGGCUUGGCCCAUCAGCCCGCCUCUUUCCUCCCUGGACCUGGAAAAGGAACACUGGAUAUGAAGCUGUCUGCAUCACUCAGCCCCUACUUUUAAUAAUUGGGGAAAUUUUUUUCUGCUUUGUUACCUAUGAAUCACCCUAGCUCCUGCUCCCUGACUUUCAGAAAACUCAGCCAGCCUUUUCUCCUCCAAGCUGCCCUGGGACAGAGUUAGACACCUCUACCUAAAGCCUACAAAGAAAUCACCAACCAACCAAAGAACCAGAAGCUUACCUCACUGCUGACCUGCAACUUAGACUGGGAAGUGGCCUGUCCCGGAGCAAAGACCUGGGCCAGACACCAUAUGUUUUGGCUAGGUUGUCUGUGAAGGGAAGUGAUGGGACAGGCUGUGUUCCGCUUUUAUGGAAACAGACAGAGAAGUGGUAAUUCCUGCCAAGGUCACAGGAUGAACACAGAGCCAAGAACCAGAACCAGAAGAGUCGAGCAGGAAAGAAAAAUGCAGUGACUACCAUCCUGAGGCUGCAGUACAGGAAACAAUCCUGCCAGAAAUUUGGCAGGGGACCAGCCGACGUGCUCCACAACCCUGCUAGAGGGUCUUUGUCCUUGGCCUGCUGGCCUCCUCCGUUCCUGCCUCCUCUGUUCCACACCUUUCAGGCCUGUUCUGGGUCUGAUGUGUUGUGGAACACUCUGUCCAGACGCUUGGGAAAUGGAAACACCACUGCAGACAUUUCCACCCCAAAGAACUAGGCAGCACACUGGGAAGGUACCCAAGGAAGGGACUCCAGCCUCCCAGGAGUUAACAGCACUUUUCCCCAGCUGUCCUCCCCUUGGUGCUCCUUUUCCUCCCUCCUUCUGCUCACAGCAGGCAGGGCCUGGAACCAGGAGCCAUGCUGCUGUGCUGUUGCCAGGGGAGCUGGGAGGCAGAUCGGAGCUAUGCAGGGAAAAGGCUCAGCCUGUCAAAGUGUCUGAGAUGAACCACCGCCAUCCCUGUGCAGCUGGGCUCAGAUGUGUCUCCGGCUCUUGUUCUAUGCCUGAGAACAGUAAAGCCCAGUGAGGUUCAAGGGCACACUGGCUAUUCAUUAGUCAGGGGUUCUUGACGUCCUGUCUCUCCCAGGGAUGGGUUCCCCCCUUCCUCUUUGCCUCCUGUGGCACAUUCCUGGGUGCACACCCCUCCUGCACAGCGCCCUCCACACAAACCCUGAAUCAACUCCUGUUAGGGAGAGCAGGCGGGACAGAGACAAUGGCUUCAAGAAGCCAUUCAGGCAGGACACCAGCCCCGUUUGCCUGCCUUCCGUUCCCAGUACACCUAUAUAUCCCACCCUGCUGUGACUCAGGGAACCCCUGGGCUCCCAGCUUGCACAUGCCUGGACAGGAGCAGGCCACUAGGUGCUGCCCUACAGCACAGGCAGUUCUCAGCGGGCCCCUUAGUGCCUCUGUCCUGCUGGCUGGAGAUUUUUGUACAGUUCAUUGAAGAGUAGAAACUGUAUAAUCUUUUCUGAAAUGUGGUCAUGUCAAAAAUGUAAAAGACGCAUAUACUUGAUUACUAAUUUCGUGACUGGGAAUUUACUCCAGAUAUACUGGAAAAGUUUGCUCAGAAGCAUGGGCAAAGAACUGUGGUUGAACUAACAGGUUGUUUCGUACUAUGGAAUACUACACAGCUGUAUAAGGGUGGUAGAUCUCUGCAUGAGGGCUAAUAUGGAAGGCUGCUAAUAUACUUAAGUGAAUAGAAUAAAUCACAGAACAGUCAAGUGUGUUCUUCUUUGUAUACAUUUAAAAGUCGGUCACUGCGUCAGGGGUAUGUGAAGU